rfam:Salmo salar isolate Sally breed double haploid chromosome ssa17, whole genome shotgun sequence.
AAUGCACCAAUUUGUAAGUCGCUCUGAAUAAGAGCGCCUGCUAAAUGACGUAAA